GGGUGGAGUGUGACAGGGAUGUGGGGGAGACAGAGGAGUGGAUUUGGAGCUGACACUGGUCUCAGCUCCCUGCCUUGCAAGUUCUAAAGGAUGGAAGAUACACAGCACCUACCUUCAAUCAUUU